AUUGAACGCUGGCGGCAGGCCUAACACAUGCAAGUCGAGCGGAUGACGGGAGCUUGCUCCUUGAUUCAGCGGCGGACGGGUGAGUAAUGCCUAGGAAUCUGCCUGGUAGUGGGGGACAACGUUUCGAAAGGAACGCUAAUACCGCAUACGUCCUACGGGAGAAAGCAGGGGACCUUCGGGCCUUGCGCUAUCAGAUGAGCCUAGGUCGGAUUAGCUAGUUGGUGGGGUAAUGGCUCACCAAGGCGACGAUCCGUAACUGGUCUGAGAGGAUGAUCAGUCACACUGGAACUGAGACACGGUCCAGACUCCUACGGGAGGCAGCAGUGGGGAAUAUUGGACAAUGGGCGAAAGCCUGAUCCAGCCAUGCCGCGUGGGCGAAGGAGGUCUUCGGAUUGUAAAGCACUUUAAGUUGGGAGGAAGGGCAGUAAGUUAAUACCUUGCUGUUUUGACGUUACCGACAGAAUAAGCACCGGCUAACUCUGUGCCAGCCGCCGCCGUAACAC
rnacentral:rRNA from 1 species